rnacentral:tRNA from 1 species
GAGCCCAUAGCUCAGUUGGCAGAGCAUCUGACUUUUAAUCAGAGGGCCGCUGGUUCGAUCCCAGCUGGGCUCACCA